rnacentral:rRNA from 1 species
GCAUGCAGUCGAGCGAGAACCUCCGGUUCGCCGGAGGGGAGAGCGGCGGACGGCUGAGUAACGCGUGAGCAACCUGUCCUUGAGUGGGGUAUAACCUCGAGAGAUUGAGGCUAAUCCCGCAUAAGUUCCCCCAACCCUGGUUGGGGGAGGAAACCCAGCUUGCUGGGGCUCGUGGAGGGGCUCGCGUCCUAUCAGGUAGUUGGUGAGGUAACGGCCCACCAAGCCGAAGACGGGUAGCUGGUCUGAGAAGAUGGUCAGCCAGCGGGAAACUGAGACACGGUUCCCACUCCUACGGGAGGCAGCAGCAAAGAAUCUUGGGCAAUGGGCGAAAGCCUGACCCAGCGACACCGCGUGGAGGAUGAAGGCCUUCGGGUCGUAAACUCCUUUUCCAGGGGAAGAGAAAGGACGGUACCCUGGGAAUAAGCCCCGGCUAACUACGUGCCAGCAGCCGCGGUAACGGCAAGCGUUACCCGGAUUUAUUGGGCGUAAAGAGCGCGUAGGCGGCUGGAUAAGUCUCCUGUGAAAUCUUCCGGCUCAACUGGAAGAGGUCAGGGGAUACUGUUCGGCUUGAGGGCAGCAGAGGAAGACGGAAUUCCCGGUGUAGCGGUGAAAUGCGUAGAU